rnacentral:rRNA from 1 species
UACGAAUGCUGGCGGCGUGCUUAACACAUGCAAGUCGAACGGAAAGGCCCUGCUUUUGUGGGGUGCUCGAGUGGCGAACGGGUGAGUAACACGUGAGUAACCUGCCCUUGACUUUGGGAUAACUUCAGGAAACUGGGGCUAAUACCGGAUAGGAGCUCCUGCUGCAUGGUGGGGGUUGGAAAGUUUCGGCGGUUGGGGAUGGACUCGCGGCUUAUCAGCUUGUUGGUGGGGUAGUGGCUUACCAAGGCUUUGACGGGUAGCCGGCCUGAGAGGGUGACCGGCCACAUUGGGACUGAGAUACGGCCCAGACUCCUACGGGAGGCAGCAGUGGGGAAUAUUGCACAAUGGGCGGAAGCCUGAUGCAGCAACGCCGCGUGCGGGAUGACGGCCUUCGGGUUGUAAACCGCUUUCGCCUGUGACGAAGCGUGAGUGACGGUAAUGGGUAAAGAAGCACCGGCUAACUACGUG